ACACACACACACACACACACACACACACACACACACUGGUGAAGAGUAUUACUCACUCUGGCAUACCAUGCCCCCUCCAUGUCUCACAGGGCCUUGUUACUUGGAUCUCUGUGCUCGGUGCCCUGUGUGACAUGUCUUCCACUUGAAGAACCAGGCCAAUUGUCUGUGCAUGGAUAGGUGGCGGCGGAGGGUGUGUGUCUGUUUGGGCACACACAAAAAGCAUUUAGAGAGUGGAUGCAGGCAGCUGUUAACCCAGUUUUGGAGUAAUUCUGAACUCUCCAUGGUUCAGCACGGCAUAAUUGCCUGUGCAUGCGGUGUGAGUGGAAGAUGCAAGUCAUGGAUCACUGAUCACUUACCAAGCCCUUCAAUUUACUGCUACUUCCUGCAAGAGCGCCUCCAUCUUCAAUGAAUUAUUAUUUUAUAAUCAUAUCGAUGUGUGUGGUGAGCUUGGGUAUCGAUUUGACCGUGGAUACAGCUGGCUUAUCAAAUGAUAGUUCACCGCUGUCUCAAAGUGUUAGUUGGAUAAAUCAAAAAUAACGGCAAGUGAGAUCAUAUCACUUCAUGAUAAUCAGAAUAAAGAGUCGCCAUAUUGCAUUUGAGGCUGCUUCUGUCCUCUAAUUAAAAGAUGCAGAGAGAAAAGGGGCCACCUCAGGAAAUUCAAAGUGCAAUGCUGCCAUCUGCUGGACAUAGUCCUCCCUGCAGCUCAGCUGACUCAAUCCCUGGCAAGGCAUGCUCGGAGGGGCCAUUAUGGUGAGAGGGUACAUCAUUCCGUCAUGAUAGAAAUCACACACAUCUUUUAUAAAUUGCCCCCCAGUUGAAAUCUUCUUGUCCAUCUGAAACCUAUAAUUGUGAUGAAUUGAGGUCUGUGCAUUGUCCUUUAAGGCUGCGCACUGCCAUUAGAUGACCUGCUGCUCUUACUUACAGUACUUACACUUCCAGCGGCUCACAAUUAAGCACUAGUUUUUUAUUCCUUUGUAUUCUGUGAAUGACAGACCAAGCACAGAGAGAAUAGAUGAUAAAGGAUAUGCUUUGAUAUGUUACCGUAUAUUCAAUUAUUAACAGAGCUAUUAUAGAUGGAAAUUUGUUUCCACAGCAAGUGAAACACGCCAUUUGUCUUUGUAUAUUUGGGAAUACGGGGCUACAAAUGAUUUGAUUUUGUUGGGGCAAAUGUUUUCUUAUCAGUGCAUGAAUGUGACACUUUUUUGGGGGGGUAGAGUCUUGUCUUGUAAAAUAUGCACUUGGAAGUUCUGAACUGGAUUUUUUUGAGCUUUUUUUGAGCAGAGCUUCAAUAUUUAGUAACACUUAAAUCCAGAGAAGGAAUGAGGAACUCACACUGGUGAACCAGCAGGUAGUGUGAUUGCUUUUGUUAGAUAUGAAAUGCCUUUUGAUUUUAAGUUGAACCAGCUGAUUCGGCCUUAUCUUGCUGACGGAUCAAGAGCAGAGAGGACACAGGAGCACAUUGCAAUCGCCGCACGAUCCGCCAAUCACAUCACUGUAGGACCUAGCCAGUGCUAGCCAAUCACAGCACAGCAGGGCGGGACUAUGGGAACACGUGUGGAUCUGUUUGGAAACGGCCAUGACGGUGACGCGAGUUGCGGCCAAGCAUAGUUUGUUUGUUUACAUAAUAUGUAGAUUAUUGUUAUCGAAGAGACUUUCAAUGUAAUAUUUGCACGAGUCGACACUAUGUUGGAGGUCUUUACAUUCCGUCUGUAUGUAUUUGAGCCGGACUUCAGUUUCCAGGACUUCUCCAGCCAGGUCCAAGGGAAGGUAAGGAAAACGUUUUAUUUCUCUGUGGGGUCCUUUCCAUUAUUUUGUCAUAGACUGAGACUGUCGGUGGCAAAAACAAGUACUUUUAGUUCACGCUUUUAUUUUAUUGACGCUGUUAGCAGCUCCUCUCGCGCUGUUGGGUUUCAGGUUUAAUUGAUGUUUUAAUUAACUGGUGAGGUCCAGGUGUGUGAGACAGAUGCAUCGGACCCAUUGUAGACUAAGCCGGAAAUGAACAUUUUGAUCUCUUCGCCUCUAUUGUCACAUUUAUUUGUGGAUAUAUCUUUUGAAAGAUGACAUGGGGGAACAUUUUACAGGGAGCUUUAUAACAGGUGUGUGAGGCCGUGGAGGCUGACAGGGAGGACCAGGUGAUGAGAAAGUAGGUGGUCGGUGCGAUGCCUGUUCAAAACGUUAGAGGAUAAGGCCCCAAAUAAUGUUGCUAGGUUGAUUAAUGUUGUUGUCGCCAUCUAUGACAAUAGCCGCUCUUCUGGAGAUAAUGUUGCGAAAAAUAUUUAAAAUUCCUCACAUUGACCGGAAGAUAUUUGGUCCAGCAUGUCAUUGACGGGGGCAGGAUGGAGCAGCUUUGAGCGACUGGGGCUUUAGUAAAUAUUAUUAGUAUUGUUUUUUGUCUGAUUACUCUUUAUUUGCAUGCAUGUAAUAGCUGGAAUUAUUUAUUCAUUUUUUUCUCUAUGAUUUCACCCGAAAGUGCCAUGCUCAUUUUGCGCUAAAAUUCUUAAUAAAAUGAGAACAUAUUUUGUCAAGUAUUUAAUACACACAGGGGUAUACAGAAAUAGGUUUCCCUAUGUGAUGAAUUCAUAUAGACUUUAUUUAUCGACUUGCCAGGAAAAAUGUGCUAUAUGGUGAUAUGAAACUUCCAAAAAGCAUGUUGUGUGCAUUACACUUUUUGUAAACAUGUAAACUUUGUCAUUCCUUUUUUGACGGUUAUUAUAAUAGUUUGGAAGCUCGGCCUGUUAGCUUUGGGUUGGUGACACUUGCACAUGUUAAAUGUGCACGUUCGGCACCUGUUGUUAGUUUAUCAUGUAUUAUUAGAGGGUGUUCAUUUGUGCCAGUGUAAGUGGGAAGUGUGUGUUUGCUUUACAUACAGUUUUCUGCAGCCCACUGGCUAUGUUGUUAGUGAUAAGAGAUCCUGCACCAAAAGGAAACUGCAGUAAUCUGAGACAAGCUUAGCCGGUGUUAGACUCAGUGUCUGAGAGGAAGAAAAUAAAAAAACGUGUUAAUGCAAAUGCUUGGAAGGUUUUGGUGCUCAAAGCUUAAAUGUCUAUUGCUGCCUUGAAAGGCUGCCUCCGGAGGAAAGAAAAGCCCCGAGAGAACAAGCUCACAAGCUGUACUCGGCUCAUUGUCAUAAGCAGCAGAAUUAUGAAGUUGGUAACUUUUAGACUUUGAUACCUGACAAUGGAGAAAUUGUUACCUUUAGAGAAGAUUGAAAAGCUUCCAGUGAAUAAGUCUUAGAAAUGUCAAGUGGUCACCGUGAUGAAAAUGCUGCAAUGACUCUGUAUGCUGUACAUACAAAGUGUCACUACAAUCUAUAUAAUUAAUAUAAUAUUGGUGCUCUCCUGUUUCAUACCAGUGUAAAUGGAAUCUCUUUGUGUUUUGGACUUAAUGGCGUUUUAAAGACGCUUCUUUAAUCUCUGGGAAAGUGUUUUGUGGGGCUUUAAUUGACAGCUAAAUUGAUAACGGCUGUUAGUUGCAGCCCUUUAAAUAUACUGUUUAGUUCAUCGUAACAGUUUUAGCUGUCACAUAUCAAAAAGCAUUUUUAGGUUGUGGAAAAAGUGUAUGAACGUCACUACAAUCACUGUAGAAGCAGAGACAGUGGUGAUGCGGUUCACCUCCAGUAUUAUAACUUUAAAUUACACAGAACACGUCUUCAAGUUGAGACAAAGAUGGGAAAUCGGCGUGCAUCAUGGGAGGUGAUUCAGCACGAAAUGCUAAUUCACAUUAUGAACACACAGCGAGCCGUUGCCUCAGGAGGGACGAUCUGCAGCAUGAUUUCACAUGGUUUAAUCUCGGCUGGUAUUUCCCAGGUAACAGCCUCCCCCGACACCUGGGAGCAGGAGGAAGAGGAGCAGCAGCAGCUCAGCGCCGGCUCCUGGCGGUAUUAAUGAAACGAGGCGGCGAGCGACUCCUCGCUGAGCGACGACGUACUUACUGAAGCCGUGAGGACAGAGAGAUGGAGCCCAUGCAGCACGUCUAGCAGCUGUUUAAUUGACACACGUAACUUUUUUGUAGGUGUUGGACUGGCGAUGAAGAGCGUGUAUGUCUGAAUAUGUGUACUACAGUUAGAAAUGACUUUAGAGGUGUGGAAAUCUGACAUCAAGGAACUGCCUGUGUGCAAAGUGUUAACGGGGUUAUACGUUUGAUUUUACAGCCAAUGUACCUGCAGGAGCUUCAGAGCAUGUUUAUUAUUACCAAUAAACAAUUACUAGCUUCUCAAAUUGAAGAAGAAAAAAAGACACUUUCUAUUCUUUUUCAUGUAUGAUGUAUGUGUAUAUAUAUACAUGCAUAGUUAUUAAUGCUUUUCACAUGCUUAUCUGUUUCAGAAGGGGAUUGUUUCCGCCAGUCAAACUGAUCAAUGAAAACACUGGAUGAGCCCCUUGAGAACCACAGAGAGGCAUAUCGAAUGCUGCUCAGCUGCCUCCAAGACAAGAUGACGCUGGACGAGCUCAGAGCAAAUAAUGAAACUUGAUAAUGUCGUGAUAUUUUAAUUAUUGUUUCAGUAAGUAUGGUAUGCGUUAUGGUCCGGCUCUAGAACCAUAGCAAAAUGUCACGGAAACUCAGGCACGGAGCUAAACAAAGAAAUACCUUUAUUAACAAAAGGCCAGGACAUUUCAAAGUGCAACACAGAAGAGCAUUCUCACAGAAUACCAGACGGUUUAACUGCUGCUGCCAGACACUCCGUGUAGCACACCAGGUGUGUCAGGGGAAGAAGCCAGCACUUCGUCUGGAUGGGGCGGGUCUUGUAGGUCGAAGGCUGUGGCCAGCUGCCUCCAAUCUUCCUAAUGUCCCUCUCUAACAAUCCAGGAACACUGAAAGAUAGACACUCCCUGCCAGAGGCCCUGGGCCAUCACACACCCCCCCCAUAAAGACAGGGUCCCCACAGGAACCUGGACAUCAACCAUGCCCACAACUCUACAUCACAAAAAACCCUGCAUAUACAUUAUACUUCAACCCAAUCACCUCAACAGUUGCUCAACAUUCCUUCAGCUAUUUCCUCAUAUCCCAUCUCAGCUACUGGUACCUUGAAGCAAUCUUUAAGAGAGACAGACAAAGUUGAAAGAAACAUGAUGCACAAUUACUGACAUGGGGCCCUGGACAAUGCAUCAGCAACAAUAUUGUCCUUCCCUUUAAUGCGACUCAUCUCUAGAGAGUAUGCCUGAACUGAAAACACGUCGUGCUGUUCGACGGUCAUACAAACGUUUCAUUCCAUCUUGCCUCAGCCAACGUCGACCUUGCCAAUUCCCCAGCUGAGUCAAGUCUAAUCCGGAACCCAUUUGACAUAAUGAACCAGAUUGUUUGUUGGUUCUCUCCAAUCUUCUUGCAAGGCAGCCAGCUUAUGUGUUAGCUGACAGGUAUGGCAGGUCUUGAUGUAGGUCGCCACGUCUCUUAACAUGGGGCCAAAAGAAAUGCCUAAAAACGCAAUCGCAUGUUUUUCCUACCCCCAUAUGCCCUGACUCAUGUGAAACACGCAAGACCAAAUCGCGGAAUUUCAACAGCACGACGAUUUGAUAAACCGAAUCUCCAAUGAGACGCUCGCUACGUGGCACGGGUUUUCUGACUAAUACCUCGUUUUGAAUGAAGUACCCGUGCGCACGAUUUGCUGGAAGAACAGACUGGAACAGCUCACUUAGCGUGGAAUCAGCUUUUUGCUCGCUCGCCAACACUCUGUGAGACAGACAAUGGAGUGUUAGACAGUGAUAAUACACACUUCUGUGGGGUCAUUUAUUUUCGCAUUCUCCAAUUCCACCUCUGCUUCCCCCUCGUGACCGGCCGCCGUCAUGGCGCGCGUCACGGCGCAAGCCUGGAAUACAUCAGGAUACCGCUUCUCAUUUUCAUCAGGGCCUUUACUACCCAGCGGUACCGGGACAAGUACCGAUUGAGCUGGAUCAUCAGCCCAGAUACGUGCCCCAGCCCCAAAUGAGUACAUUUUAGGUCUUAAAUCUUUUAAGAUUUAUGCUUAAUAUGCGUUUUGUAAAUUAGCGCUAUGUGUCUGCUUUCACAACUUGAAACAGCAAACGCUGUGAGUUUAAGAACUUUUUAUAAUCAACAGAAAAUAAAUAAUCAACAGCAGCUAAUCAACAAAAAGCAACACAGCUCAGACAGUCCACCAUGCUGACAUAAUGUAUAGGUAGAGCAGGGCGCACCCCCAUUAUAACUUCUCCCUCAAUUAAGUCAGAGUGGAGCACAAGUUUAUGCACUGGUACAUGAACAGACAUGCCCAUCCCUAAAACAGGUAUAAAUGAACCUGUGUCAGUUUCCGCAGAAAAAAGCAGAGCUGACGCCAGGAUAAAUUAAUCCAAUGCUCCAGUGUCACGUAAUAUAGUUACUGGCACCUUCCUGUCAGUACUCACCAGAGACGCAUGUCCUUUUGUGAUAAAAGGCAAAUAUGAAGUUAAAUCGGGCUUUUCCGUGAGAGAUGUCAGAUCACUCAAAUUGUCCGAAAUGACCAACCUGGAAACUGGCGCAGCCAGAGCGGCUGGUUUCACCUGCGCUCCAUUAUACCCGUUCUGAGACUUGCGCAAAGCGCAGUCUCUUUUCCAGUGACCUACUUCAUGGCAGAAAUGACAACUGUCGUCAGAGGUACGGACACCACGGUCAGCUCUCUGUUCAGAACGAAAAUUUCCACCAGAACGGCCAGAGAAAUACCGGGCAGGAACACUUUCCCUACCAGCAAAGCCAUAAGCGCGUGGAUCCCCGCCGCUACUUCUGUGGGUUAAAACAUAAUCAUCUGCCAACGCAGCAGCCUCACCUGCAGUCUUCACUUUGUGCUCACUGAUGUACAUCGCAAUUCCCUCUGGGACCGUGCUUUUAAACUGUUCAAGCACCAUCAGGUUAUACAGAUCAUCAAAAUCGUUCACAUCCGACGCAGAAUUAUUGCUGCUGCUGCUGCGUGUAGCACACCAGGUGUGUCAGGGGAAGAAGCCAGCACUUCCUCCGGAUGGGGCGGGUCUUGUAGGUCGAAGGCCGUGGCCAGCUGCCUCCAAUCUUCCUGAUGUCCCUCUCUAACGAUCCAGGAACACUGAAAGAUAGACACUCCCUGCCAGAGGCCCUGGGCGUCACAUAUGCCAUAAAACAGCAUAAUAUACAAUGUCAUGAAGAAGUCAUUGUAUGAAAUAAAAAUGUGGUAGUACAGUGAACCAUAAAUUAAAAAUACAAUGAAGUAUAAACAAUAGUAUCAUUGUAUAGUAUGGCACAUAUCAAAACCUGUCUCAAAAGGUGCGACAAUUUGGAAGACCAGACAAGUUGGCUGUUAAGAAAAGUAAUUUUUGACAAAAGCAAAACAAAUGCAACUUGAAGGAACCAGCUGAUUAGUAGUGAAGUGCAUGGAUGGGUGUGUGUCAAAAUACAUUUAUUUUUACAAUCAGUCAUAGUGUAAUAUAUUGAAAAAAGUCAUUAGAUUAUGUCGAAAAAUGAUUGGUUGAAAGGCUGGAACAUCCAAUCACAAAGUCAAAUAUGUGUAGGGACCAGUUGCUGGUAUCAGGACAGAUGGGUUAGGGUGAUAGAAGACUGGUUACGAGACAGGAGGUUGUAGGUUCUAUCCUUAUAGAGUGCAAAUACGCAGAGACCAAGACACGAUUUAAGUGUAUGGAGUCGAAUAGCUCAGUCGGGCUGGAAACUGAGCGAUUGUGGGAUCGAACCGUAAAAGGUGUGACUGCUUUUGAGGUUUGACAGGCCAUCACAGUCAAAUACGUUCCGAGAAGAGUUCCAAAUGCGAAAGGGGCUGGUGGCGUAGUAGUGGUAUUCUCAGACAAAUCUCCUACUGUCUGCAACAGACUGUUGUGGGUUCGAAUCCCGCACGUUGCCAAGUGUCUAGUGCUCUGCCGGGGAGGUGGUGGUGGGGGCAUUGUCCCCACCGAAGUUUCGGAGAUAUGUAACCAGGGGGUUAUGGGAAAAUGGAUGAUGACCAGCUGAAAAUUAAGUGAGAAGGGGCAUGUCUUCUCUUGAUGAUUCGAAUAAUUGAAUUGCAUUAAGACAGUUUUGCUUGAUAGUUGGCUAUAGUCUUAUAUAUAGCCUUGCGCUUGCAGUUUUUUAUCAUCUUUUUUAUUUCAGGAGUGUAAAAUAAUCAGCACUCACCAUAUCCACGAUGUCCUUAAUUUAUGCUGUACCAUCAUUGAUCACCUCUGGAAAAAGUUUAAGCAAAACAAUAACGGGAACCAAAGGUCUUGAUAUUUGGAUAUUUAUAUGAAUUAAAUAAUGUCUAGUUUGAAUAUAAAGAAGCAAUAAUACAAGAUAUUAAAUCGAAAAUGUGUUGCCAAUGCAAACAUUCAUUAUAAACGGAGUGCUUUUUAGUGUUUUUCUCUUUUUUAUUUUCAAUCCUACAAAUUUCAUCCUGAACUAUAAUGAUCAGGGUCUUUUUUUUAUGCGUUGGGACGUACAAUAGUACAUCUUGUUAGUUUUAAACACUUAACAUUUUAAGACCGUGAACUCAUAAAUGCAAUGCACUGCAGUAUGUCCGAAAUGCCUGCAGGUUGGACAGUCUGAAGCCGUUCACUCCAACACUGAGAUCACACAAAAUAAACACGGUCACAGUUUGUGUUUGAGGCAUUUAAUAAGAACAGACACAUGUGGAGAAAUAUAUGUCAUCAAUAUUCAGAGUACAGUGCCAAGUAUGAAUUAUAGAUGUAAUAUCCAAUGAGGCCACAGGAUGGCAGCAAACAUCAACCUUUAAAUCACAACAGUGGCUUCAUGUUGUGUCAUGUACAAAUAACAUCAUUUUCUUUACCGUUAUUCAUCAGGAACCGAGUUUUCAGAUCAUGUCCCACCAUCCCAACAAGCUGCAGGAGACAGAAGUAGAACAUGAUGUUAAAAUAGAUUUUGAGCUUUAGAGAUGAAAGGGUUGGUUCACAGUUUGUUGUAAAACAGUAGUUCACUGAAACAGGCUGUAACAUUCCUUCUGUUCAUAUAACAACAUAUAUAAUAGUUAUGUCACUGCCAUGUUGUAUACUUUUUAAAAGACACUACACAAAUGUUUUAUAUCAUUAUAUAAAUGAUAAAAGCCCAAGCAGCUCACAUACAAUCCAUGAACUGAUAUUAUAAUAUUUUUUGGGGGAUUCCUCAGAUGCAAUAAGCAGCAAGGGUCAGGACUAUAUUUUGAGGGAGUUCCUCAAGCAAUGUUCUUAGGUCCCUUUAAAUAUGUCAGUGAUUGUGUGAAUGCAGGAGGUUUGACAGAGUGUCUGUUUGACGGAUGAAUCUGGCAUCUGAGUAUGGAGGCUGCACCUCCUUACUGUGAGACGUCUAGACCUUCAGCGUUUGCUUUUCUCACGCUGUCAAGAUUGAUUAUGAGACAUUUCCCAAACCACUGGCUGACUCUGAAAUGAAGUUCUUACAGUCACUAUUAAUGAAUGUUUAUAAUCUUAAUCUAUUUUCAAAGCAUGAGGAAAAACAAUAUUUUGUCUCUUACACAGACUAUUUCUAUUAUUUCAGGUUCCAACACAGCUUGAUGGAAAAUAUCACCUGGCUGUGAGGAAGAGAUGUAGAAUGAGGAAGAAGAAGAAGAUGGAGUACAAUAAAACUCUGCACUGUUAGGCAUCACCACGGUACUGACCAUGACCACCCUGAGCACGGUGGCCAGGAACUCGCUACCUAGAGUGUCCUACGUGACGGCCAUGGACUUGUUUGUCACCGUCUGCUUCCUGUUCGUCUUCGCUGCCAUGAUCGAGUACGCCAUGCUCAACUACUACUCCUACAGCAUACGCAGACCUCCUGCCAAGAUG